CGGAUGAUUAUAAUAAUUAUUAUUUAAAAAAUUUUGUUUUUCAGUUAUUUACCCCAAAAAUACUGAAGCAUCAUUCUUCUUCGCAAGAUUUCUUUAUAAGCAACAGCAGAAAUCAGACAUACGGAACGAACGAACGUAGCAUCGCUACGACACCCGAAAAAGAUAUCCCGGCGACCACAAGUGAUUCCGAAGUGCCCUAUCAAAGAUAUUAGAGAUAAAAGAAUAUAAUACCUGUACUUUAAAUGAGAAUAUAAAGGAAAAAAAAAGCAAAUAUUAAUUUAUUCUUGUUGAGUGCAUAAUUAUAUCAGUUCCGUAGAAUUAAUAUAAUUUCAAGCAUCUGCUGGUUGUCAUAAGUAGAAAUUAUUAUUAAUUGGCAACGAAAGAAUAAUUUUAUAAGAAUUCGGUAAGAAAAGUAUUUUUUAAAGCAUAAUUUACGGAAUAUUUAUUUCAGCUGGUUAAUCUCUACCAAUUUAUGUCGUUAGGAUACGUAAGAUUUCCUUUAGUUUGUUAUCUCAGAAAUUAUUUUAUAUUAAAUCUUCCAACCUGCAAAGAUAAUAUAUAUUUUUUAUUUUAUAAUAUUUUUACUACAGUAAAUUUUACACCGAGAUUAUAUUACGCGUGAAAUUCUUGUAAUUAAGAUCACUUUCGAGCUUAAAAUAAACGAUUUUAUUUUGGUACGUA